UACGAGGGGGGCGAGCGUUGUCCGGAUUUAUUGGGCGUAAAGAGCGUGUAGGCGGCCAAACAGGUCAGCUGUGAAAACUCGAGGCUCAACCUCGAGACGUCGGUUGAAACCGUUUGGCUAGAGUCCGGAAGAGGAGAGUGGAAUUCCCGGUGUAGCGGUGAAAUGCGCAGAUAUCGGGAAGAACACCCGUGGCGAAGGCGGCUCUCUGGGACGGUACUGACGCUGAGGCACGAAAGCGUGGGGAUCAAACAGG
rnacentral:rRNA from 1 species